rnacentral:misc_RNA from 1 species
AAGUCGUAACAAGGUUUCCGUAGGUGAACCUGCGGAAGGAUCAUUAACACAUCCCCAAAACACAUAUCCAAUUUCCUUUGGAUAUUAACCCCCCACUAUAAGUGAACUUUGUUAGGAGGUGCAUCAUAGCUAGCUUGCAUAUGUGUAAAAAUAUAUGCAAGUGGGUUCCCUGACCGCCUCCGCUUUUUUUUUUCCUUUUUUUCAAAACAAAAACCCAAUUGAACUUUCGACUGAACCUUUUUUUUUUUUUUUGCUUGUAUUGAAAAAUACAAAACGAAAGAAAAAAACAAAUCUAAGAAAAUGUUGAAACAACUCUUAGCAACGGAUAUCUUGGCUCUCGUAACGAUGAAGAACGAGC